rnacentral:rRNA from 1 species
UACGGGGGGAGCAAGCGUUGUUCGGAUUUACUGGGCGUAAAGGGCGCGUAGGCGGUCAGCACAAGUCAGUUGUGAAAUCUCCGGGCUUAACUCGGAAAGGUCAACUGAUACUGUGCGACUAGAGUGCAGAAGGGGCAACUGGAAUUCUCGGUGUAGCGGUGAAAUGCGUAGAUAUCAAGAGGAACACCUGCGGCGAAGGCGGGUUGCUGGGCUGACACUGACGCUGAGGCGCGAAAGCUAGGGGAGCGAACGGG